rnacentral:rRNA from 1 species
GUGCUUACACAUGCAGUCGAGCGGUAAGGCCCUUUCGGGGGUACACGAGCGGCGAACGGGUGAGUAACACGUGGGUGACCUGCCCUCCACUCUGGGAUAAGCCCGGGAAACUGGGUCUAAUACCGGAUAGGACCACUGAUCGCAUGGUUGGUGGUGGAAAGUUUUUUCGGUGGGGGAUGGGCCCGCGGCCUAUCAGCUUGUUGGUGGGGUGAUGGCCUACCAAGGCGGUGACGGGUAGCCGGCCUGAGAGGGCGACCGGCCACACUGGGACUGAGACACGGCCCAGACUCCUACGGGAGGCAGCAGUGGGGAAUAUUGCGCAAUGGGCGGAAGCCUGACGCAGCGACGCCGCGUGGGGGAUGACGGCCUUCGGGUUGUAAACCUCUUUCGCCAGGGACGAAGAGCAAUUGACGGUACCUGGAGAAGAAGCACCGGCCAACUACGUGCCAGCAGCCGCGGUAACACGUAGGGUGCGAGCGUUGUCCGGAAUUAUUGGGCGUAAAGAGCUCGUAGGCGGUGUGUCGCGUCGGCCGUGAAAACUUGGGGCUUAACUCUGAGCGUGCGGUCGAUACGGGCAUCACUUGAGUUCGGCAGGGGAGACUGGAAUUCCUGGUGUAGCGGUGAAAUGCGCAGAUAUCAG